ACUCUAGUCUGGCGCUGUGAAGAGACAUGAGAGGUGUAGAAUAAGUGGGAGGCCCCGCGGUCGCGCGACCCGCGUCGGCCGCGGCCCGGCCGCCGGUGAAAUACCACUACUCUGAUCGUUUUUUCACUUACCCGGUGAGGCGGGGGGGCGAGCCCCCAGCGAGGGGCUCUCGCUUCUGGCGCCAAGCGCCCGGCGCGCGCCGGGCGCGACCCGCUCCGGGGACAGCGUCAGGUGGGGAGU
rnacentral:ncRNA from 1 species